rnacentral:lncRNA from 10 species
CUUCUCUGCGCUGCUCACAGCGGAGACGUGGUCAUGAGGCCGGGUCGCCUUGGAGCCAGGGCCUCUCAGUCCCUGUGGUGGUCUCUGGUCAGAUUUGGCCCAGGAGGGCUGGAGAAGGACGACAUGGAGACCAGCUGGGGAGACUGCUGCCCAGGCCUGGACUGAGGGAAGGCACAGGGAGCUCACUAGGAGAAAGGACCUCCUCAGGGGAAGGGUCCAGAGCAUGGGCAUCUGACCCCAAAGGUUGGGAGCACCGUAGAGGCAGGGGUGGGGUGGGGACAGGGCCCAGCUGGAAUGGAGUGUUUUGAAUAAGCAAAGUUUGCUGAACACACGGCUCCUCUUUCUCAAUGCUUCCUCCCCCAUGAAAAUGAGGUGCACCUGCCGGGCGGGCGGGUGCGGUGGCUCACGCCUGUAAUCCUAGCACUUUGGGAGGCCGAGGCGGGCGGAUCACGAGGUCAGGAGAUCGAGACCAUCCUGGCUAACACGGUGAAACCCUGUCUCUACUAAAAAUGCAAAAAAUUAGCUGGGCGUGGCAGCGGCGCCUGUAGUCCCAGCUACUCGGGAGGCUGAGGCAGGAGAAUGGCAUGAACCCAGGAGGCGGAGCUUGCAAUGAGCCGAGAUGGCGCCAC